UACGAAGGGGGCUAGCGUUGCUCGGAAUCACUGGGCGUAAAGGGUGCGUAGGCGGGUCUUUAAGUCAGAGGGGAAAUCCUGGAGCUCAACUCCAGAACUGCCUUUGAUACUGAGGAUCUUGAGUUCGGGAGAGGUGAGUGGAACUGCGAGUGUAGAGGUGAAAUUCGUAGAUAUUCGCAAGAACACCAGUGGCGAAGGCGGCUCACUGGCCCGAUACUGACGCUGAGGUGCGAAAGCGUGGGGAGCAAACAGG
rnacentral:rRNA from 1 species